GUUAAGCGACUAAGCGUACACGGUGGAUGCCCUGGCAGUCAGAGGCGAUGAAGGACGUGCUAAUCUGCGAUAAGCGUCGGUAAGGUGAUAUGAACCGUUAUAACCGGCGAUUUCCGAAUGGGGAAACCCAGUGUGAUUCGUCACACUAUCAUUAACUGAAUCCAUAGGUUAAUGAGGCGAACCGGGGGAACUGAAACAUCUAAGUACCCCGAGGAAAAGAAAUCAACCGAGAUUCCCCCAGUAGCGGCGAGCGAACGGGGAGCAGCCCAGAGCCUGAAUCAGUGUGUGUGUUAGUGGAAGCGUCUGGAAAGGCGCGCGAUACAGGGUGACAGCCCCGUACACAAAAAUGCACAUGCUGUGAGCUCGAUGAGUAGGGCGGGACACGUGGUAUCCUGUCUGAAUAUGGGGGGACCAUCCUCCAAGGCUAAAUACUCCUGACUGACCGAUAGUGAACCAGUACCGUGAGGGAAAGGCGAAAAGAACCCCGGCGAGGGGAGUGAAAAAGAACCUGAAACCGUGUACGUACAAGCAGUGGGAGCCUCUUUAUGGGGUGACUGCGUACCUUUUGUAUAAUGGGUCAGCGACUUAUAUUCUGUAGCAAGGUUAACCGAAUAGGGGAGCCGAAGGGAAACCGAGUCUUAACUGGGCGUUAAGUUGCAGGGUAUAGACCCGAAACCCGGUGAUCUAGCCAUGGGCAGGUUGAAGGUUGGGUAACACUAACUGGAGGACCGAACCGACUAAUGUUGAAAAAUUAGCGGAUGACUUGUGGCUGGGGGUGAAAGGCCAAUCAAACCGGGAGAUAGCUGGUUCUCCCCGAAAGCUAUUUAGGUAGCGCCUCGUGAAUUCAUCUCCGGGGGUAGAGCACUGUUUCGGCAAGGGGGUCAUCCCGACUUACCAACCCGAUGCAAACUGCGAAUACCGGAGAAUGUUAUCACGGGAGACACACGGCGGGUGCUAACGUCCGUCGUGAAGAGGGAAACAACCCAGACCGCCAGCUAAGGUCCCAAAGUCAUGGUUAAGUGGGAAACGAUGUGGGAAGGCCCAGACAGCCAGGAUGUUGGCUUAGAAGCAGCCAUCAUUUAAAGAAAGCGUAAUAGCUCACUGGUCGAGUCGGCCUGCGCGGAAGAUGUAACGGGGCUAAACCAU
rnacentral:rRNA from 1 species